ACAAUGGAGAGUUUGAUCCUGGCUCAGGAUGAACGCUAGCGGCAGGCCUAAUACAUGCAAGUCGAGGGGCAGCAUGGGUAGCAAUACCUGAUGGCGACCGGCAAACGGGUGCGGAACACGUACGCAACCUUCCUUCAAGCGGGGAAUAGCCCAGAGAAAUUUGGAUU
rnacentral:ncRNA from 1 species